GUCGUUAACUUUUACAAAAAUCUUCUCCUCUGAAACUACUGGGCCAAAUUACACCAAACUUGGCCAAAAUCAUCAUUGGGGUAUCUAGUUUAAAAAAUGUGUCCGGUGACCCGGCCAACCAUCCAAGAUGGCCGCCAUGGCUAAAAAUAGAACAUAGGGGUAAAAUGCAGUUUUUGGCUUAUAACUCAAAAACCAAAGCAUUUAGAGCAAAUCUGACAUGGGGUAAACUUGUGUAACAGGUCAAGAUCUAUCUGCCCUGAAAUUUUCAGAUAAAUCGGAUAACCUGUUGUUGGGUUGCUGCCCCUGAAUUAGUAAUUUUAAGGAAAUUUUGCUGUUUUUGGUUAUUAUCUUGAAUAUUAUUAUAGAUAGAGAUAAACUGUAAACAGCAAUAAUGUUCAGCAAAGUAAUAUUUACAAAUAAGUCAACAUGACCGAAAUGGUCAGUUGACCCCUUUAGGAGUUAUUGCCCUUUAUAGUCAAUUUUUAACCAUUUUUCGUAAAUCUUAGUAAUCUUUUACAAAAAUCUUCUCCUCUGAAACUACUUGGCCAAAUCAAUCCAAACUUGGCCACAACCAUCUUUGGGGUAUGUAGUUUGAAAAAUGUGUCCAGUGACCCAGCCAUCCAAUCAAGAUGGCCGCCAUGGCUAAAAAUAGAACCUUGGGUAAAAUGCAGUUUUUGGCUUAUAACUCAAAAAACCAAAGCAUUUAGAGUAAAUCUGACAUGAGGUAAAUUUGUUUAUCAGGUCAAGAUCUACCUGCCCUGAAAUUUUCAGAUGAAUUGGACAACCCGGUUUUGGGUUGCUGCCCCAGAAUAAGUAAUUUUAAUGAAAUUUUGCUGUUUUUGGUUAUUAUCUUGAAUAUUAUUAUAGAUAGAGAUAAACUGUAAACAGCAAUAAUGUUCAGCAAAAAAAGAUUUACAAAUAAGUCAACAUGACCGAAAUGGUCAGUUGACCCCUUUAGGAGUUAUUGCCCUUAAUAGUCAAUUUUUAACCAUUUUUCGUAAAUCUUAGUAAUCUUUUACAUCUUCUCCUCUGAAACUACUUGGCCAAAUUACACCAAACUUGGCCAAAAUCAUCAUUGGGGUAUCUUGUUUAAAAAAUGUGUCCGGUGACCCGGCCAACCAUCCAAGAUGGCCGCCAUGGCUAAAAAUAGAACAUAGGGGUAAAAUGCAGUUUUGGGCUUAUAACUCAAAAACCAAAGCAUUUAGAGCAAAUCUGACAAGGGGUAAAAUUGUGUAACAGGUCAAGAUCUAUCUGCCCUGAAAUUUUCAGAUAAAUCGGAUAACCUGUUGUUGGGUUGCUGCCCCUGAAUUAGUAAUUUUAAGGAAAUUUUGCUGUUUUUGGUUAUUAUCUUGAAUAUUGUUAUAGAUAGAGAUAACUUGUAAACAGCAAUAAUGUUCAGCUAAAGUAAGAUCUAGAAAUAAGUCAACAUGACCAAAAUCGUCAGUUGACCCCUUAAGGAGUUGUUGCCCAUUUUAUUCAAUUUUUAACAAUUUUCACUAAUUUGGUAAAUUUUUGUAAAUUUUUACAAAAUAUUUUUCACUGUAUCUAAAGGUCCAAGUUUAUUAUAGAUAGAGAAAAUUCUAAGUACCAAGAAUGUUCAGUAAAGUAAGAUCUACAAACACAUCACUAUCAGCAAAACACAAUUUUGUCAUGAAUCCAUCUGUGUCCUUUGUUUAAUAUGCACAUAGACCAAGGUGAGCGACACAGGCUCUUUAGAGCCUCUAGUUAUUUUUUACUCUGUU
rnacentral:lncRNA from 1 species